AAUGAGUGACCACAGCCCAUGACACAGCCCUCAGGAGACCCUGAGAACAUGUGCUCAAGGUGGUUGAGGCACAGGUUGGUUUUACACAUUUAAGGAAUAUAUGAAACAUCAAUCAAAUACAUUUAAGCUAUACAUUGGUUCGGUCCAGAAAGUUGGAACAAUUUGAAGCAAGCAAGGGUUGCGGGGUAGUGCUUCUGGGUUAUAAGUAGAUUUUUAAUUUUUCUGAUUGGCAAUUGGUUGAGUUAUUGUCAAUAGAAAGGAAUGUCUGGGUUAUGAUAAAAGGUUGUGGAGUCCAAAAUUCUCAUGCAGAUGAUGCCUCCAGGUGCCAGGCUUCAGAGAGUAUAGAUUGUAAAUGUUUCUGAUCAGACUGAAGGUCUGUGUUGAUGGUAAAUGCUGGUCAACUUUUCCUGAAUUCCAAGAGGGAAGAGGGCAUAAUAAGACAUGUUCAAUACCUGCUUCCCUUGGUGGCCUGAGCCAGUCUUUCAGGUUAACUUUUGAGCACCCUGGCUGAGGGUGUCCAUUAAAAUGAUUGGGAAGGGGUGGCUUUGAUGUUUAUUUUUGGUUUACAACAUGUAAAAUGUUGAGAGGAGACAGACACCACCUCCCUCCCUGGAAGAGGACAACAACACUCCAGUCACCCCUGCAGUUGCUCAUGGACAUGAGUUUUAAGCUCCACCAGUCUGAUGACCACCUGCUGAAGAGGUGUCAUUGUCUCAGGUAAAUACUAAGUGUUCGUCAUCUCACGCCAAGAAGAUUAAGGACACUGACACACGAGGAGUGAGUUAGGACCAAAGGGUUUAAUAGGCAAAAGAAAGACAAAGGGAAACAGCUCCUUCUUGUGAGAGAGAGGGGCACCCAAAAGGGAAUUCCGGCCUGGAAUGGGAGUGCAUCGGAUUUUACAGGCAGGCUUGAGGAGAUGGUGUCUGAUUUAUGUAGGGCCCACAGGUUGGUUGUACCAGGUGUGAUAUUUACAUAGUGCGUGUGGAAGGCUGUUCACCCCACCCUCAUCCUAUUAUGCAAAUGGGCUUUCCACUUGGCUGGUGACAUGUUGUCUGCUCCUUACUGUAAACGUGCCUGGCAAAGAGAAGGGAAGAUGGAGCCGCCAUUGUGAACAUACCCAGUCCCAGGCGUCCUAUUCCUAUUGGACAGCUGCUGGCAUUCACCCGUGCAAACUUCCAGCUUACUUGUCUAUGUCUGAAGCUUGAUAUUACAGGCUGCUCCUUGUUAGAAAAGAAAAUAAUUUGGAGCCUGCUUUCCAUUAAAAGCCUUGCGUACCCUCACUACCUGUCUAAAUAAUUUCUUCUUAACUCCUAUAUCACUGCCAGACUCAGCCAGAAUGAGGUGACAGAGAGGCUAGGACUGUGCAGAAAGCAUUUUAGUAAAGAUGGCUGAGUGACAGUAGUGAUGUCCAAUUUCCAUGUGCAGCAGUGACAUCUGUCCUAGCCUCAGGGUCCAGUGUCCAGGACCAGGGUGUCAGAGGUGUGAGCAGUGGCGUCUGUGCUCAGCAGCAGGGGCAGUUGUUCCUAGGAGGGACCUGAUCCAGGGUGGGCUGUGAAUUCUGUUCCCGGAUGUGUAGUUUCCAGCCUGCUUCUGUAGCCUUCCCCACAAUAAAACUAGCCCCCAAUACCAGAUAUACGACUUUCUGUGUACAUUACAGAAAUGUGGUUUCCAUAGUUUUCUCCAAGAAGUGAGUGAGAAAUGAGUCUGCGGGCGAGUGUCAGAGAGCGGCAUUCAGAGGUGUUCUUUGUGCGAGAGCCACAUCCUGAAUUGUCUACCUGGCCUCUACCCCAUGGUGGAGAGAACAACAGAGAAUAUCACCUCUCAUAACUGAUGAUAUACAGCCUCCCUUUUCUUUCUGUGAGAAAAAUCCUCUUUUAAACAGGGUUUGAAAACCCACCCCACCCACCCACCCUGGGCACUCUCUGAUCACUGAUCUCAGUGGCUCCCAAUCUGUCUGAGCAAUAGGAUUGCUGGCGGGGACUUAGAAAAUACACAGGCCACUCCCCAGAACCCUUGUCUCAGAGUAUUAUGCACAAGACCAAGGAAUCAUUUAUAUGACAAGCCCUAGAGGCGAGGCUGAUGCUCAGACAUGUGGGAUCCUGGUGCUCUUGCUACUCCAAGUGUGAUCUGGAGACCAGCAACAUGAGCUCCAGCCUUGUCAUAAAUCCAGAAUCUCUUGCUCAACUCCAGACUUCCUGGAUCUCAGCACCACAUCCAGGUGAUCCUGGUGCACAUGG
rnacentral:lncRNA from 10 species